rnacentral:rRNA from 1 species
GAGUUUACAACUCCCAAACCCCUGUGAACAUACCAAUUGUUGCCUCGGCGGAUCAGCCCGCUCCCGGUAAAACGGGACGGCCCGCCAGAGGACCCCUAAACUCUGUUUCUAUAUGUAACUUCUGAGUAAAACCAUAAAUAAAUCAAAACUUUCAACAACGGAUCUCUUGGUUCUGGCAUCGAUGAAGAACGCAGCAAAAUGCGAUAAGUAAUGUGAAUUGCAGAAUUCAGUGAAUCAUCGAAUCUUUGAACGCACAUUGCGCCCGCCAGUAUUCUGGCGGGCAUGCCUGUUCGAGCGUCAUUUCAACCCUCAAGCCCAGCUUGGUGUUGGGACUCGCGAGUCAAAUCGCGUUCCCCAAAUUGAUUGGCGGUCACGUCGAGCUUCCAUAGCGUAGUAGUAAAACCCUCGUUACUGGUAAUCGUCGCGGCCACGCCGUUAAACCCCAACUUCUGAAUGUUGACCUCGGAUCAGGUAGGAAUACCCGCUGAACUUAAGCAUAU